GGUAAAAGUGAUGAUAUGCCACUUCCGUGAUUAGAUUGUAAAGACUGACUUCCAUCACCAGCACUCUGUCUCUCUGGUGCCGUGUGUGCACUUGCUCUAAUGAGGCAAGCUGGAGGGACCCACAUGGCAGGGAACUGACGGCAGCCCCUGGCCCCCCCACCAGUAAGGAACUGAGACUCAGAGUCCAACAGCCUUGAGGAACUGAAUCCUGUCAACAACCACAGAAGAUAGCUUGGAAGAAGAUUCUUCCCCAGUCGAGACUAUAGAACACAGCCUCAGAAAAAUCCUUAAUUCAAGCCUUUUUGAGAGAUCCCAAAGCAGAAGCCUGAGCUUUGCCAUGCCCAGAUUCCUGACUCACAGAAACUGGGUGAUAAUAACUACGUGGUUGUUGUACAUCAUUAAAUUUUUGGGUAAUUUGUUACACAGCAAUAAAUAACUAGAAAUGCUCACACAAUAUACUCAGUUGGCAGCUGGGAGCAGGGGCUCUGCUCCAUGCAGUCAUUCAGGAACCUGGACUGAUGGAAACUCUGUUGUCUCCAUCAAAUGGCUUCAGUGUUUCCUUGGGUGUCGAAAUCCAGCCAGCAGACGGAGGAAGAGCAACAGUGGAGGAGUGCAGGUGUAAGCUCCAUGAAGGCAGGGACCAUGUUGGUCCUGUUCACCACUACGUUCUUACACCUAACUGGCACCCGACACUGCUGCUGAGUAAAUGAAUAACAAGUGCUUUCAAGAGUGAGGCAACACAUUUCCUGAGAAUUAACUGAUGUAACCAGUCUUCACCAUCAGCAUGUUGAUGCCCAACUAGGGAGGACAUUUGCCAGCCCCGCUUGAAUAUAGAGGUGUUGGGAGUCUUUGCCCGGGCAGAGAAGUCAGCAAGAUUUGCUCAGUCCCAGGACUUCUACAGCAGCAUAGAGAAAUGCCACGCUAUCUCAAUUAAGCACCAGUGGAGGCCGUGGUAGCUCCUUCAGUACAAAAGCAGUGGCUUCUGUUGUGGGUCCUUCUAGUUGUGGCAUGCGGGAUGCCUCCUCAGCAUGGCUUGAUGAGCGGUGCCAUAUCCACGUCCAGGAUCCGAACCAGUGAAACCCUGGGCCACCGAAGCACAGCACACCAACUUAACCACUCGGCCAUGGGGCUGGCCUCUAAGUAUAUUCCUAAUAAAUAGUAUUUCAGGACAAUCACGGAAGGAAGCGUAAGGAGGAGCAGAGGGAGAGAAACGCAGCAGAACCUGGUUGCUCUAGAAACAAACUAAGCCACUUUAACCGUGAGAACUUUAGAGUUUAGAUACUUGAGGCAAGAGUGAGAAGGGAAAAAAUGGUCAUCAAGAGGCAAUUAUCACUUUAAAAUGUAGUGAAUAUCAGCUGAAACAAAAGGAAUUGAGGGUUGUGUAUCACUGUAACUGCAGUGAGUUCUUGUUAUUGAGGAAUGAUUUACUUUCUUAAUAUUAACUACAUAUUAAUAUAUAUACAAAACGUGUAUCUCUUGG
rnacentral:lncRNA from 1 species